rnacentral:rRNA from 1 species
UACGUAGGGGGCAAGCGUUGCUCGGAAUCACUGGGCGUAAAGGGUGCGUAGGCGGGUCUUUAAGUCAGGGGUGAAAUCCUGGAGCUCAACUCCAGAACUGCCUUCGAUACUGAGAGUCUCGAGUCCGGAAGAGGUGAGUGGAACUCCGAGUGUAGAGGUGAAAUUCGUAGAUAUUCGGAAGAAACACCAGUGGCGAAGGCGGCUCCACUGGUCCGGUACUGACGCUGAUGUGCGAAAGCGUGGGGAGCAAACAGG